rnacentral:misc_RNA from 1 species
GAUGAAGAACGCAGCGAAAUGCGAUAAGUAGUGUGAAUUGCAGAAUUCCGUGAAUCAUCGAAUCUUUGAACGCACAUUGCGCCUUCUGGUAUUCCGGAAGGCAUGCCUGUUCGAGAGUCAUUAACAACCGUUUCGAUCCCUUUCUUUCAGAAAUUACAAAGAGGAAAAGGGUUUGGUUAUGGUGGAGGAGGGAAAGGGAGCGUUUAGCCUGUAAAAAAAGAGGCUGUGUUCCGCCUCCCCCCCAAAAUUGUACAGGCGGUCGUGUGCGCCCACGCAUCGAGGUGUUGUAAAAGCUGCCACGGCACUUUUCACCUGUGCAGUGCGAGAUUGGCUAGCCGGUUUAAAAACCCCUCCAAACAAUCAAAGGUUGACCUCGGAUCAGGUAGGGAUACCCGCUGAACUUAAGCAUAUCAAUAAGCGGAGGA